rnacentral:rRNA from 1 species
UACGUAGGGUGCGAGCGUUAAUCGGAAUUACUGGGCGUAAAGGGUGCGCAGGCGGUUUUGUAAGCCAGAUGUGAAAUCCCCGGGCUUAACCUGGGAAUGGCAUUUGGGACUGCAAGGCUGGAGUGCGGCAGAGGAGACUGGAAUUCCUGGUGUAGCAGUGAAAUGCGUAGAUAUCAGGAGGAAUACCGAUGGCGAAGGCAGGUCUCUGGGCUGACACUGACGCUCAUGCACGAAAGCGUGGGGAGCAAACAGG